rnacentral:rRNA from 1 species
UGGGGAAUUUUGGACAAUGGGCGCAAGCCUGAUCCAGCCAUUCCGCGUGAGUGAAGAAGGCCUUCGGGUUGUAAAGCUCUUUCGGCAGGGAAGAAAAGGUACUGGUUAAUAACUGGUACUGCUGACGGUACCUGAAGAAGAAGCACCGGCUAACUACGUGCCAGCAGCCGCGGUAAUACGUAGGGUGCGAGCGUUAAUCGGAAUUACUGGGCGUAAAGGGUGCGCAGGCGGCUCUGUAAGUCUGACGUGAAAUCCCCGGGCUUAACCUGGGAACUGCGUUGGAAACUGUAGAGCUAGAGUGUAGCAGAGGGGGGUAGAAUUCCACGUGUAGCAGUGAAAUGCGUAGAGAUGUGGAGGAAUACCGAUGGCGAAGGCAGCCCCCUGGGUUAACACUGACGCUCAGGCACGAAAGCGUGGGUAGCAAACAGG